AUGUUCUUCGCGGCGAUUUUCACUGAUUGUGGCAGGUUAAAACGCCAUUAUCAUUAAAAAAAAAAGGAAACACAUUUAAAGCUGAGGUGGUGUAUUUGCAUAUGAGAAUAAUCACUAUUCAGUCUUGUUGAAUGUGAGAGAGUUAGCGAGAGGGAUCUGAAUAUGACGAACCCUAAUUUUUGAUCUCCCUCGUUAUCGGCGUUCAUCUUUUGCCGCCGUAUACAAUGCGGUUGUUGCUGCCUUCGAAGGAGCGCUCUUCUUUGAUUAGGUUUUCUAGCUUCGAUUUGAGGGUUUGUUGCGCCGCCCUCAUCUCCUCGUCCACCACAAGCAACACCAUCAUUGCUGUCUUCGAUGGAGCUUCUACUAUCUGGUAUAAUCUGAGAUCGCACAUCGGAGGGAGAGGGAAAGGGGAAUGAGAGUGAGUUGAUCUGAAACCCUAAAGCUUGUCGCCGCCAUGGUCACCAGCAUUCAUCUCAUUUCUCCCGCUUCCAUCAACCUUCUGCACUCGAGUGAAGGCGCCUCCUCUAUUGACGUGUUUCCAAAUCUGGUCACUAUGCCAUAGCUUAUGAGAUUGAGCCAAGCACCUCUUCCAUUAAUGUGUCUCCUCCGCCAGCAGCACCGGUACGUUCUCACUUCCGCAUUCUCUUUUUCUUCGAUCCACUCAACAUUGCUUGUAGUGUGUUUCUGUUCAUUCUCAAUUGCUUGUUUUCUAGUAGUAUUGUUAUGCUUGCCAUGUGGUUGAUGAAUUUCCUAAGAGAGAUAGAAAAGAGUGGAACUUAUUUUCUGAUAUAGAUAGAUGAUUCUUUGGUGCUUAUUAUUAUAACUACUGCAUGUUCAUCAUUGUGCAUUUUUUAAAUUCAAAACUAGCUUAGCUCCCAAUUUAAAUCCAACAAGGACAUGCCUUCUUUGUUUUCUUUUUUCAUCAAUGUCAUGACUUGAAUGCUCACAUUUUAUGGUGGGAAAAUCAAACUACAUUUACUGCAUUUUAGUUUGCAGUUGACUUGUUUAUAUGCUAAGUUGUCUAAAGAAAGAUAUACUCUGCCUAGUAAAUUGAAUACCUAAUUGUUUAAAGAAUCUUCUUGUUGUUUAUUUUGUUAAUUAUCUUGUAAAAAGGAUUGAAUGAAAAGUACUUGUUUAAAUCCCAUGUAUUAGACGAGGGUGGCCAAGGAGUACUUCAUCUUGCGGCUGCUCUUGGCUAUGAUUGGGCCUUACAACCCACAAUGAUUUCUGGUGUAAAUAUGAACUUUUGCAUUGUAAAUGGAUGGACUGCUCUUCAUUGGGCUGCAUUCUGUGGCAGGUACAGGCUCUUCUAUCUGAUAAAGAAGAAUUUGAGAAAGACUUGAAAAGAUUAAAUGAUAAGCUUACUUCAGCCUCUCUGACUAUAAUGCUAAAGGUGAGCUGUUGAAAAAGAAAACAAAAAUGGCUCAGGAAGCAACAGCAGGUAAUAUUCAUUGAUCUGUAUAUUUCCCUUAUCUGUCCCCACUGUUCUGUAAUAUAGGACUUGAAAAAUACAGAAAUAACCAAAUUAUGUGUAAUCUAGAGAAUUUAGUCUUGGGGGGUCACUUUCACUGUGCACUUUCUCAGGUGAAGAUUGCUCUCUAUCCAAAGAAGCUAAUAAUUUGAAGAUCAAACUUGGGCAUGAAGAGAUUAUUAUAUCUCACGGAACCAGCCCUUUUAAUUUCUUUCUCCCUGGUCUCAUUUCUAAGCUUCUAUUUAAUAUUAUAAUAUAAUAUAGUAAUAUGUCACAUGGAACUACCUCUUCUGCCAGUGGUAUUAGUCCAUAGUGAUUUUGUGUAAUAUUUAUAUAUGAAUGAAUACAGAUUUAAUUUGGUAUUUCCUUUGUUGUAUCUCUGAUCUGAAUGCUGUGGACACAAACACAAACUAAUGUUUGCUUCCUUAUAUAUCUUGAUAUGAAUUCUCAUUAAUAACUUUAGACGCACACACAGACAUCACAUAUAUAUAGCUAUAACUUUAGAAGAAUUCAGAUCAAUAACACAUACAUGUCUUAAUUUUAUGCAUCUAUCUUGAUUAUUAGAAGAAUUAUAAUAGAUGAUAUGCAUGAUUCAAGAUUCAUCAAGGUAAACAAUAAUGUGUGUAUGUGAUCAAUUUGUACUACAAAGUCACUUGGAUUGCUUUAGUAGUAUUGAAGGAUUUGCAUUAUAUGUGUGAGGUAGUAUGGUCUUGAUGAGUUUAAAUUCCAUUGUAGGUCUGAUAUUUUAGGUCUCUCUCAGGAUAAAAUAUUUUGUUAUCAUAAAGGUAUAAUACCUUCAUUCUUCAGAUUUUGAUAAAAUAUUUUGUUAUCAUAAAGGUAUAAUACCUUCAUUCUUCAGAUUUUUCUUUGUAGGUCAACUUUUAGAUCAAAUGUUGCUAGCAAUUUAUACUUUUAACCUCUUAGAAUUGUUACUUCUUAUACAGAAUGCACUAGAUGGUUCAUUUUUUUUGCUUUAUGCUUGUGCUCACAAUCCUACUGGAGUAGAUCCUUCAGAAGAACAAUGGCAAGAGAUCUCGUCCCUCAUCAAGAUUCUAAGUUUAUUGGUUAUUGUGAUUCUAGAUCAUUAUCUUCCUAAGAGUCUCUAGCAGAGAUCAAUUUACAUUUGACAGAGGCACAGAAUACUGGAGGAGUUUGUUUUUCUUUGGGAAAGGGCAUGUACCGUGUGCUUUAUAUUCCUGAAGAUGAAGUUGUUCUCUUAAAUUCUAGGGAGAAGGCGCCUUACAUGAUCUGUGUUGAAGUAUUAAGAUGUGACAUGAUAAGGUUAGGGACUUAAGCUCUCAUCUGAAUACUCUAGCAAAGUCAGAAACAGAGGGUGUCCAAGGAGCUGCUGCGGUUUUUAAUCAAGCCCCGCUUUAUAAACAUAAACACAAAUAUGAAGGCUAUGCUAUAGACUGGAGUCUUCUUGUUCCCGGAGCCAGAAGGCUUGUAUCUGUUGUAGGAAUUGAAUCAAGAGAGUGAGAUUUCAUCGCCAAAAUAGUUAGAAAGUAGGUCUUCUGGAGAAAGCAAUAGAGCAGCAUGAAAUAUGGAGAUUUUAUGUAUUAAGAGUUACAUGUUAUGACAUUUAUAGUUGAAAAAUUAUGUUAUGUUUGAUACUUUGUAUAGGAGUUAUUACUUUUGAUUUCUAAUACUAAAAAAUCGUAUAUUAUGUUUAAUACUU